CAGAGGGUGCUAGCGUUGUUCGGAAUUACUGGGCGUAAAGGGCGCGUAGGCGGCCCGCUAAGUUCGGUGUGAAAGCCCCUGGCUCAACUGGGGAACUGCGCUGGAAACUGGCGGACUCGAGUACCGGAGAGGAGGGUGGAAUUCCUGGUGUAGCGGUGAAAUGCGUAGAUAUCAGGAGGAACACCGGUGGCGAAGGCGGCCCCCUGGACGGAUACUGACGCUGAGGCGCGAAAGCGUGGGGAUCAAACAGGAUUAGAUACCCUGGUAGUCCACGCUGUAAACGAUGGGGACUAGGUGUGGGGGGUAUUGACCCUCCCGUGCCGCCGCUAACGCAUUAAGUCCCCCGCCUGGGGAUUACGGCCGCAAGGUUA
rnacentral:rRNA from 1 species